UGUAUUCCUUAUCUGUUAUCUGUUUUUAAUGGUUAUGGGAGUCUAUCUUCCCGUUAUACCUAUUUGAUAUGACGGGAAGAUAGACCCUGCUGUUAUUACCGCUAUCCCUGAAAAU
rnacentral:sRNA from 1 species